rnacentral:rRNA from 1 species
GAUGAACGCUGGCGGCGUGCCUAAUACAUGCAAGUCGAGCGAACAGACGAGGAGCUUGCUCCUCUUACGUUAGCGGCGGACGGGUGAGUAACACGUGGAUAACCUACCUAUAAGACUGGCAUAACUUCGGGAAACCGGAGCUAAUACCCGAUAAUAUAUUGAACCUCAUGGUUCAUCAGUGAAAGCCGGUUUUGCUGUCACUAAUAGAUGUAUCCGGGCCGCAUUAGCUAAUUGGUAGGGUAACGGCCUACCAAGCCGACGUUGAGUAGCUGACCUGAGAGGAGGAUAGGGAACACUGGAACUGAGACAAGGUCCAGACUCCGACGGGAGGCAGCAGUGGGGAAUAUUGGACAAUGGGCGAAAGCCUGAUACAGCAAAGCCGCGUGUGUGAAGAAGGUAUUCGGAGUGUAAAGCACUUUAAGUGGGGAGGAAGGGAAGUAAGUUAAGACCUUGCUGUUUUGACGUUACCAACAGAAUAAGCAACGGCUAACUACGUG